rnacentral:rRNA from 1 species
UACAGAGGUCUCAAGCGUUGUUCGGAUUCAUUGGGCGUAAAGGGUGUGUAGGUGGCGCCGUAAGUCGGGUGUGAAAUUUCGGAGCUUAACUCCGAAACUGCAUUCGAUACUGCGGUGCUUGAGGACUGGAGAGGAGACUGGAAUUCAUGGUGUAGCAGUGAAAUGCGUAGAGAUCAUGAGGAAGACCAGUGGCGAAGGCGGGCCUCUGGACAGUUCCUGACACUGAGACACGAAGGCCAGGGGAGCAAACGGG